rnacentral:rRNA from 1 species
CCUACGGGUGGCUGCAGUGGGGAAUAUUGGACAAUGGGCGAAAGCCUGAUCCAGCAAUGCCGCGUGAGUGAAGAAGGCCUUAGGGUUGUAAAGCUCUUUUACCCGGGAUGAUAAUGACAGUACCGGGAGAAUAAGCUCCGGCUAACUCCGUGCCAGCAGCCGCGGUAAUACGGAGGGAGCUAGCGUUGUUCGGAAUCACUGGGCGUAAAGCGCACGUAGGCGGCUUUGUAAGUUAGAGGUGAAAGCCCGGGGCUCAACUCCGGAACUGCCUUUAAGACUGCAUCGCUUGAAUCUGGGAGAGGUAAGUGGAAUUCCGAGUGUAGAGGUGAAAUUCGUAGAUAUUCGGAAGAACACCAGUGGCGAAGGCGGCUUACUGGACCAGAAUUGACGCUGAGGUGCGAAAGCGUGGGGAGCAAACAGGAUUAGAUACCCUUGUAGUC